rnacentral:misc_RNA from 1 species
GUGCCGACUUCCAUGGUUUUCAAGGGAUGUGAAAGGACUAAAGUAUUGUUGUUGUUGAUGGCUGAUUUAGAGGAGGCAGAGUCUUGGUCUUCAUCUUGAUUAUGAGAUUCUUGGCUGGUUGUGGGUUAGAAAGAUUAUUGCAAGUGGAGGUGUUGAGGCAUUAAAAGGGACAAAUUUUGACGGGUAAGAAGGGAUGAACCAUCUUUCAAUGGACAAGAAUCAUCUACACUCUCCAAAUUUAAAGAGAAAAGAGAGGUACAGUGAGUGGAAGGGAUGGCG